AGCUGAAGGAUUUAUUGGUCAGGCAGCUGCUGCGAUCAUUAAUUUGAAUUGAAGGAUGGAGGUUCCAGAGUUGUGGGAAAACAUGAUUUAGGAAGCUUAGCCUGCACAAAAACCCAAGUCAACAAGUCCUGUGGCUCCAGGAAAGAAACAGGACAGCUCUGGUUUGUACUGAUUCAUGGCUAUUUACUCAAGGUGUAAAGUCCUAUGGAGACUCAGAGGCAUCUUUCAGACACAGCCUGCAGGAUGACUUGAAAGAAGGCCAGAUAUUGAUCUAUGGAUCAGCAGAGGAG